rnacentral:tRNA from 2 species
AGUUAAUUAAGCUUUAGAAAGCAUGUAUUUUGAAAAUACAAGAUAGAAGUUAAAUUCUUCUAUUAACUU